UGGAAAGUCUGACUCAUCGCUUUCACUUACCAGUGAGGAAACCAAGGCCUGGAGGCUGAGGAGCUUUCCCAAGACCACACAGCUGCCGAGAGUCUCAGGCAGCAUUCAGCUCUCCAUGGGUCUCUGUUCCAGGAACGGCCACACACUCGAACAGCGAGUCCAGGCGCUCUUGAGGAAGCCUGGACGCGAAGGAGAGGAUUCCUGCAGUCCCCGAGCCCACUGUGUGUGUGAACACUGCGUUGGUCUCCAGGACAAAGAACUAUGGCUCUUUUCCUCAAGAAGCAGAUGAGUGAUUCUCAACGUGGCUACCAUAACUCCUCUGAUGCCUCCACACCGGGAUCCGCUGGACGAAUCCACGGGAGAGUAACAAUGAUUGGAGACAGAGGCCCCUGGGCUUUUCAAAAUGGACUCUACAAAAACCAGGCAGUGCAAAUCCAUACUGUGUUGAAAAAGCACUGCGACCUGAAGUCAGAAAACUGGGACUCGAGCUUCCAUCAUCAAGAACAGAAUUCCUUUGGGCAAGUCAUUAGUCCUCUUUGGACCUCUGCUGAAUUAUGUCUGAAGGAGAGCUUCUAGUGAGGCCGAAAUGAAAUGUUGUGGGUGGAAGCACUUUUUUUUAAUGUUUUAUUGUUUUGCUAUUUUUUUAUGGGAGUGUAGCUGCUUUAUACCGCUGGGUCAGUUUCUGUCACAGCAAAGUGAAUCAGCUGCACCCACACAUCAGUUCAGUUCAGUCGCUCAGCCGUGUCCGACUCUUUGCGACCCCAUGAAUCGCAGCGCGCCCGUUUUUUUAAUGGGAUUUCCUUCCCGUUUAGGCGACCCCGGAGCAGUGAGUAGUCUCCUGCCCUGUGCUGUAGGUUCUCAUUAGCUACCUGUUGCACACAUAGUAGUGUAUAUAUGUCAAUCCCCAUCUCCCGAUUCGCCCCACUACCCACUCCCACUUUGACUGAAAAUACUAGGCAACACAGGAUUCGAGGGUUGUUAUAAGAAACUCGAAAUGAGCCUCUUCAGCUGGAAGGCAGGUUUGGAGCUGGUUGCAGGAGACAAGGCCAGAAAGGAGGAAAGACACCGGAUGUAGGGGAGAAUGGGGGCCGGGGAAGCCUGCCCGGUGGCAGAGGGUGUGGGGAGACAUGUCUGGACUCAUCCUCCUGAAAGCCCUGCUGGAGCAAGCGUGGCAUAUUUCACACCAAAGGUGGACCUGCAUUUUAUGUGGCAUUAAAUCCUACAGUCAGGGCCUGAUGGGAAAGAGCACAAAUAGUCAAAAUCAUUCUGUCUUAUAAAUCACCUGCAGAGUGUAUAGCAUGUAUGAUUUUGUAAUAAAUCCAAAUGCAGCCAUUUUUAAUCAUAUUGUAGUUUGAAGCUACUAUGCAAAUGUGUGAGUACACAAACCUUUCUCCCUUUUGAUAACUAUCAAAACCUCAUGGCAAAAAGGGGAUGAGUGGGAGAAUUCCUGCUUUUCUGCAGAGUUCAUUCUGUUUUUAUUAUUAAAAAAAUAAAAAGUAAAAUAAAACUGUUUUUAUUAGUAAAAACAGUUUAUUCUGUUUUUAUUAUUAAACCACUCUAAUCCAAUACCUCUUAAUGGGUGGGUUAGCUGCUGUUGAGAGGGGCAAAUAAAAGGACGUAUCCAAAAGGGUCUACCACGCAGUAAAGUGUGAUACAGGUGUCUGAUGUGAGCGCAAACUUGUUUCAGCAGGACAGAUGCAGAAGACUUUGAAAAGUGGUAUCUUCAGCCUAAAUGUCUGUCGAUAGAUGAAUAGAUAAAGAAGAUAUAGUCCAUAUAUACAAUGGACUAUUGCUCAUUCUCAUUUUCUACUACAAGAUUUUCAAACAAUGCUCUCUGUUUAUUAAUGUUUUAAGUCGCCUCGUGUUGAUGCUAAUAGAUGUUUGAGUGCAAGUGGUGAUCCCACCAGCCUUCCCUCAGGACAGCUUAGCGAGCCAGGGCUAAGCCGCUUCAGCCUGUCUGACUCUCCGUGACCCCAGGGACUGCGACGCACAGGCUCCUCUGUCCCUGGCGUUCUCCAGCUAAGAAUACCGGAAUGGGUUGCCAUGCCCUCCUCCAGGGGAUCUGCCCGCCCCAGGGAUGGAACAGAUGAGGUACCUUCUUUGAUUACUUCUUCUGGUGUCUAUCACAAGAUCACUGAGAGGCGAGAUCUUGUGGAACUUCACUGGAGGACUGCAGCUUUGCCUCAAAGGAGCAACGUGCCUGAGGCUUGAAAA